UUCUGUGGUGGCCAGGUGUUGGUAUCCUCUGUGUGGAAGGUGCUCAAAUGGUGGCUCUUCUCCCAAGUGGCUGGAGGUGGCUGUGGGGCUGUGACCAUCUCUUAGCCACCUUCUUAGCAAGUCCUGCAAAUGUGAUCAGUCUUCUCUCAACUCUAAUAUUCAAUGAUAAUACAAUCCUGAGAACAGUGCUAUGCAAUGCUCAUUUUGCCUAAGAGAACUACCGAGAGAGAAGUUUAACAUGCAAAAUGGUGUGGCCAGUUCAGCUGCACGAGGGCAUAUGGAACUAUCAUGUUUUGCUCAGCAAACAGUCAUUAAUGGCUACUGCAUGCUAGGAUCUGGGAUUCAAAAGCAAAGAAGACAAAUCCUUUGUCUUCCAAGUGCUCACAACCUAACAGAGAAAACGACAGACUUCAGAUGACAUCCAAUCCAAAUAGUGAAGUGGAAGACACAGCCGAGAACCAGCUCAGACUCCAAAAAUAUGAGGAUAAAGCAGGAGAAAUUCGACGAGGCUGGAAAAGUUCAGCUCCACCAGCCAGAGUGUCGCAAUACCCACGGGGUGGAAGUCACUGAAGGCAAAAGAAAACUUCCAGGCACCGAUUGUUAGAGAAUGCUCACUUCGGAAUGAAUGUAUAGAUUCCACAUGUGGCUGAAACCAAUUUCCUCUUGGUUUGUCCUCAGAAAAAAAUGGAAAGCAGCUGGCCGGCUUCUUCCACAAGUCCUUAAAGAGCACGACUGAGUCACAUGAAUGCCCUCGUUCCCGGGCGGAAGAACUCCAAGUCCACCCCGCCUUUCUCAGCAUCAUCAACAAUGGCCGUUUAUUGAGCGCCAACUACGCAUGAGGCACCAUGCCCUUGUCUCUGAAUCCCGUAAUAGACCCAAGUUCCCACGGGGUUCUGGUCGCACCUCCAAACAGUCCUUCAUUCAACUUUUCUUUUCCUCAGUUUACCCACUCUUAAAAAAGGUGACAAGACUACCCACCCUGGCUGCGCGCAGUCGUUAUUUUAAGGAUCCAAUGAGAGAGCCCCCACAUGGGAGAGGCACAUGGAUGGAAGGGUGCAUUAUUGCUGUGGAGCUUUUGUCUUCAUCUGGAACUUCCUCAGGCCCUCCACAAAAACUCCCAUGUAGGCACCAGAGACAGCAGUGCUCUUACCAGCGCCGAAAAGCAGGUGGUCUGACUCGGGAGCUAGUCUGGCUUCUAUAUUUGGCCAACGGAGCUAAUGCAGCCCCUUCUGAGGUAUUGCCACCAAACCCCACUUCUCCCAGCUUGUCUACACAGAGCCAGCCCCCCGCAUGGGGCUUUCCCUCCCUCAAUGAAUUACACCCUCCUGCUCAUUAGUAAACUUGUCAAACUCGAUAGUUAAUUCCAAUCCCGUCCUUCACACUAUUGGCCACACACACAUUCCAAUUGGAGCUGUCAGCAAGUCGUCCCCAGAGCCGUACCGGGUCACAUGGCUCAAACUCUGUCAGUCACUUCCUUUGGCCACCAAGAGCAAGAAUUUAAUUUAUUUGAACAUCAAAUGUCUUGGUGGAGUCUGACUACACUUGAAUAUACCUAAUCAAUCAUUCAAACGCUCUAGGAUAAGAUUCUAGGUUCCAGACAACCAAUCUGGUGACAUAGAUUCAAUAUAAUGUUUCUGAAAUAGCACCUGCCUCUCCAUUGGGCUCUUUGCCAGGUCUUUCCCCUACAAUAUUAUUUAGUCCUGACAUGUGAGAUAAAUAUCAAUAUCCCAGUUCUGUGUUUAAGGAAACAGAGGAUCACAAGCUGACUGACUUGUCCCAAGUCACAGAGUUACUUGGAAAAAACUCAAGUUCCAAUCCAGGCCUCCCACUUCCAAGUCCAGGCACUUCCCACAAUGCCACAGUUACCAUCAGUAGUAAUGUGGAAGAAAUAUUUGCUGUGCUCUUCAUGGAAAGCCUUGCCUCUGUUAAAUCCAGGAGCUUUGCAAAAGCGUCUUGAGAUGCUUCAAGAGGAAUGUCACUUGCUUGAUUUAGCUGAAUAUCUAUUUUCCUGUCACUACUUACUUCAUAAGGGUGCAAAACACAGGAAGUCCUGACUGCAAAGCUUUAGAGUGCUCAUUUAAAAUGACUAAGAGUUAUUUCAUGUUUGGCAGGGACUAGUACAUUUUGUCAGCCUGAAAGAAUUUUUGGCCAACAGGUUUUGUUUGGAUCCACAGUUGUUAACUAUUAGAGAUGUCUGAAAAACCAUUUAGGUUGGGCCGGUUGAACUGGGUGACUGAUGAUUGGGGUCAAUCGAAACUGAGAAUCUCCACUUCUAUGAUACCACUAGUGUCCAAAAGUAAAGGAGCAUUUCAUUUUCUCUGACCCCUCAAGACACAGAUUUCUGGAUGUGAAUUAAACAUUUCUGUUCUAAAGAUGAA